UACGGAGGGUGCAAGCGUUAUCCGGAUUCACUGGGUUUAAAGGGUGCGUAGGCGGGCAGGUAAGUCCGUGGUGAAAUCUCUGAGCUUAACUCAGAAACUGCCAUGGAUACUAUUUGUCUUGAAUAUUGUGGAGGUAAGCGGAAUAUGUCAUGUAGCGGUGAAAUGCUUAGAUAUGACAUAGAACACCAACUGCGAAGGCAGCUUACUACACAGUUAUUGACGCUGAGGCACGAAAGCGUGGGGAUCAAACAGG
rnacentral:rRNA from 1 species